UGGAGGCAGCAGUGAGGAAUUGUUCGCAAUGGGCGCAAGCCUGACGACGCAACGCCGCGUGGAGGAUGAAGACCUUCGGGUCGUAAACUCCUUUCGAUCGAGACGAACGGCCUCCGGGGGAAUACUCCGGGGGAAUGACGGUACCGAGAGAAGAAGCCCCGGCUAACUCCGUGCCAGCAGCCGCGGUAAUACGGGGGGGGCAAGCGCUGUUCGGAAUUACUGGGCGUAAAGGGCUCGUAGGCGGCCAACUAAGUCAGACGUGAAAUCCCUCGGCUCAACCGGGGAACUGCGUCUGAUACUGGAUGGCUUGAAUCCGGGAGAGGGAUGCGGAAUUCUAGGUGUAGCGGUGAAAUGCGUAGAUAUCUGGAGGAACACCGGUGGCGAAGGCGGCAUCCUGGACCGGCAUUGACGCUGAGGAGCGAAAGCCAGGGGAGCAAACGGGCUUAGAUACCCCGGUAGU
rnacentral:rRNA from 1 species